GACGAACGCUGGCGGCGUGCUUAACACAUGCAAGUCGAACGGAAAGGCCCUGCUUUUGUGGGGUGCUCGAGUGGCGAACGGGUGAGUAACACGUGAGUAACCUGCCCUUGACUUUGGGAUAACUUCAGGAAACUGGGGCUAAUACCGGAUAGGAGCUCCUGCUGCAUGGUGGGGGUUGGAAAGUUUCGGCGGUUGGGGAUGGACUCGCGGCUUAUCAGCUUGUUGGUGGGGUAGUGGCUUACCAAGGCUUUGACGGGUAGCCGGCCUGAGAGGGUGACCGGCCACAUUGGGACUGAGAUGCGGCCCGUACUCCUACGGGAGGCAGAAGUGGGGAAUAUUGCACAAUGGGCGGAAGCCUGAUGCAGCAACGCCGCGUGCGGGAUGACGGCCUUCGGGUUGUAAACCGCUUUCGCCUGUGACGAAGCGUGAGUGACGGUAAUGGGUAAAGAAGCACCGGCUAACUACGUG
rnacentral:rRNA from 1 species